ACUCCUACGGGAGGCAGCAGUAGGGAAUCCUCUCACAAUGGGGGAAACCCUGAUGCAGCGAUGCCGCGUGAGUGAAGAAGGCCUUUGGGUUGUAAAGCUCUUUCGUCGGGGAAGAAAAUGACUGUACCCGAAUAAGAAGGUCCGGCUAACUUCGUGCCAGCAGCCGCGGUAAUACGAAGGGACCUAGCGUAGUUCGGAAUUACUGGGCUUAAAGAGUUCGUAGGUGGUUAAAAAAGUUGGUGGUGAAAUCCCAGAGCUUAACUCUGGAACUGCCAUCAAAACUUUUUAGCUAGAGUAUGAUAGAGGAAAGCAGAAUUUCUAGUGUAGAGGUGAAAUUCGUAGAUAUUAGAAAGAAUACCAAUUGCGAAGGCAGCUUUCUGGAUCAUUACUGACACUGAGGAACGAAAGCAUGGGUAGCGAAGAGGAUUAGAUACCCUCGUAGUCCAUGCCGUAAACGAUGUGUGUUAGACGUUGGAAAUUUAUUUUCUGUGUCGCAGCGAAAGCAAUAAACACACCGCCUGGGGAGUACGACCGCAAGGUUAAAACUCAAAUGAAUUGACGG
rnacentral:rRNA from 1 species